rnacentral:rRNA from 1 species
CACGUAGGGAGCAAGCGUUGUCCGGAUUUAUUGGGCGUAAAGAGCUCGUAGGUGGUUCGGUAAGUCAGGUGUGAAACCUCCAGGCUCAACCUGGAGACGCCACUUGAUACUGCUGUGACUGGAGUCCGGUAGGGGAGCGUGGAAUUUCCGGUGUAGCAGUGAAAUGCGUAGAGAUCGGAAGGAACAUCUGUGGCGAAGGCGACUAUCUGGGCCAACACUGACACUGAGGCACGAAAGCGUGGGGAGCAAACAGG